AAGCCGUGAAUAAAGUUCAAACCAAUUUAGAAAAAGAGAGAAAGUUAUCUAGAAGAAAGCUUGUUAUCGAUAACGCACAAACUAUUAAAACUAUCUUAGAAGCUUCAAACCGACAACUAAAAUAUCGCACUGGACACACUUUUACCGAGUUUGUCAACAUGGUCAUAGACAAACUAGAAGUUGUGUGUCAGGAAAUGGAUGAAGAAGAGUCUGAAAAAAAGAUGAUGAAAGAAAAACUCGAACAAAUACGAAAGAAAAUAGCGCAGAUUACUCGUUGCACAAUAUUCGAAGUCAAAGCAGUAGCAGAUUCUAUGCUGGCUGACUUUGCAAUUGUUGU